rnacentral:sRNA from 1 species
CACAGCAGAUCAUGGAGUCUUCCUGUAGAAGAGCUGCUCAAUGAAGUCCCCCACAAGGACCACUCAGAUACUUGGGAACUGAAAACUCAUCCGGAAAUAGCAUGUCUCUUCUAGAGAACAAACUGUGGUUUUUGCUGGGAGUGGCCCUGCCUUCUGAUUUGCUGCCAACUGAAGGAAACAUGCCCGAUACAGCAGUUACAAGCAUUGCCUCUGAAGGCGACUUCCCGGGUUCAAGUCUUGGCUCUACAACUUGCUCUCUGUUGGGGCCCUCAUCCUGGCACAUCAAGUCUC